CCUGCGAGUCAUUGUAGUAAUACAAGGCAGACGGCUCAGUAACGCGUAGUCAACCUAACCUACGGACGGGGAUAAUCUCGGGAAACUGAGCAUAAUACCCGAUAGAACAUUAUGCCUGGAAUGGUUUAUGUUCCAAAUGAUUUAUCGCCGUAGGAUGGGACUGCGGCCUAUCAGUUUGUUGGUGAGGUAAUGGCCCACCAAGACUAUUACAGGUACGGGCUCUGAGAGGAGUAGCCCGGAGAUGGGUACUGAGACACGGACCCAGGCCCUAUGGGGCGCAGCAGGCGAGAAAACUUUGCAAUGUGCGAAAGCACGACAAGGUUAAUCCGAGUGGUUUCUGCUAAAGGAACCUUUUGACAGUCCUAGAAACACUGUUGAAUAAGGGGUGGGCAAGUUCUGGUGUCAGCCGCCGCGGUAAAACCAGCACCUCAAGUGGUCAGGAUGAUUAUUGGGCCUAAAGCAUCCGUAGCCGGCUCUGUAAGUUUUUGGUUAAAUCUGUACGCUCAACGUACAGGCUGCCGGGAAUACUGCAGAGCUAGGGAGUGGGAGAGGUAGACGGUACUCGGUAGGAAGGGGUAAAAUCUUUGGAUCUAUUGAUGACCCCCUGUGGCGAAAGGCGGUCUACCAGAACACGUCCGACGGUGAGGGAUGAAAGCUGGGGGGAGCAAACCGGAUAGAUACCCGGGGUAGUCCCAGCUGUAAACCAUGCAAACUCAGUGAUGCAUUGGCUUGUGGCCAAUGCAGUGCUGCAGGGAAGCCGUU
rnacentral:rRNA from 1 species